GGCUGUCUGGCGCAAUGGUAGCGUGUGAGCCUCCUAAGCUUAAGCUUGUAAGCUCAAGGUUGUAAGCUCAAGGUUGUGGGUUCGAGUCCCACGAUAGUCG